AUGGAGAACGCCGACGUCCCCAACGGAGCAACGGCGCCGGCGCCUACCCAGGCGACCCCGGUGGUGAGGGAGCAGGACCGGCUGAUGCCCAUCGCGAACGUGAUCCGCAUCAUGCGUCGCGCGCUCCCUGCCCACGCCAAGAUCUCCGACGACGCCAAGGAGGCGAUCCAGGAGUGCGUGUCGGAGUUCAUCAGUUUCGUCACCGGCGAGGCCAACGAGCGGUGCCACAUGGAGCACCGCAAGACCGUCAACGCCGAAGACAUCGUGUGGGCCCUAAACCGCCUCGGUUUUGACGACUACGUCGUGCCCCUCAGCGUCUUCCUGCACCGCAUGCGCGACCCCGAGGCGGCAACAGGUGGUGCCGCUGCAGGCGACAGGCGCGCUGUGACAAGUGCACCUCCCCGCGCGGCCCCGCCCGUGCUCCACGCCAUGCCGCUGCAUGCUCAGAUGCAGCGUCCGAUGUACGCGCCUCCGGCUCUAGUGCAGGUUCAGAAUCAGAUGCAGCGGCCAAUUUACGCGCCCCCAGCUCCGAUGCAGGUUCAGAAUCAGGUGCAGUGGCCCAUGUACGCUCCCCCGCCUCCGGUGCAAGUUCAGAUGCAGCGGGGCGUCUACGCGCCCCAGGCUCCGGUGCAGGGGUACGCCGUCGGGAUAACGCCCGUGCGGGCGAACGUCGACGGGCAGUGCCAGGUGUUCGGCGGAGAACGUGCCGUGGCCCAGCAAUACUACGGGUACGGAUACGGGGAAGGUAGCAGCAACGGAGGAGCCUGUGCCGACGAGGAGAGCUCGUCCAACAGCGUGCCGGUGCCGGGGAAGGGCACCGGAGAGCCGGAGCCAGAGCCAGCAGCAGAAGAAUCGCAGGGCAAGCCCAUCCAAUCUGGGUAA
rnacentral:rRNA from 1 species